GACGAACGCUGGCGGCGUGCCUAAUACAUGCAAGUCGAGCGGACUUUCAAGAAGCUUGCUUUUUGAAAGUUAGCGGCGGACGGGUGAGGAACACGUGGGCAACCUGCCUGCAAGACGGGUAUAACUCCGGGAAACCGGGGCUAAUACCGGAGAAUAUCUUCCUUCGCAUGAAGGGAGGUUGAAGUCGGCGCAAGCUGCCGCUUGCAGAUGGGCCCGCGGCGCAUGAGCUAGUUGGUGAGGUAACGGCUCACCAAGGCGACGAUGCGUAGCCGAACUGAGAGGGUGAUCGGCCACACUGGGACUGAGACACGGCCCAGACGCCUACGGGAGGCAGCAGUAGGGAAUCUUCCGCAAUGGACGAAAGUCUGACGGAGAAACGCCGAGUGAGCGAAGAAGGUCUUCGGAUCGUAAAGCUCUGUUGUCAGGGAAGAACAAGUACCGUUCGAACAGGGAGGUAGCUUGACGGUAACUGAUAAGAAAGCAACGGCUAACUACGUG
rnacentral:rRNA from 1 species